rnacentral:misc_RNA from 1 species
GAUGAAGAACGUAGCGAAAUGCGAUAAGUAGUGUGAAUUGCAGAAUUCAGUGAAUCAUCGAAUCUUUGAACGCAUCUUGCGCUCUUUGGUAUUCCGAAGAGCAUGCCUGUUUGAGUGUCAUGAAACUCUCACCUCCAAUCCUUUUUAACUAGAAGGUUGGGGCGUGGACGUGAGUGCUGCUGGUGCCCUGGUUGCAUCGGCUCACUUGAAAUUCAUUAGCUGAAUCCUUUAAAGUAGGUUCUACUCGACGUGAUAAGAUCUCCGUCGAGGACAGUGCUUCGGCAUUGGCCAACGAUAAAGUUGAUACGCUUCUAAUUAGCGCAGACUUCGAGUGCUGGCAAUUUUGACAACUUGGCCUCAAAUCAGGUAGGACUACCCACUGAACUUAAGCAUAUCAAUAAGCGGAGGA